UUACGAUUGACGGAGCGAAGCGACGUCAAAGCGUAUACAAAGUCGAGUCGGUUUAAGGAUACGUUCGUUGGGUAGGGGAGCGUUCUGUAAGCCUGUGAAGGUGUGUCGUGAGGCAUGCUGGAGGUAUCAGAAGUGCGAAUGCUGACAUAAGUAACGAUAAAGCGGGUGAAAAGCCCGCUCGCCGGAAGACCAAGGGUUCCUGUCCAACGUUAAUCGGGGCAGGGUGAGUCGACCCCUAAGGCGAGGCCGAAAGGCGUAGUCGAUGGGAAACGGGUUAAUAUUCCCGUACUUGGUGUUACUGCGAAGGGGGGACGGAGAAGGCUAUGUUGGCCGGGCGACGGUUGUCCCGGUUUAAGCGUGUAGGUGUGUGUUCCAGGUAAAUCCGGUU
rnacentral:rRNA from 1 species